UACGAAGGGUGCAAACGUUGCUCGGAAUUAUUGGGCGUAAAGCGCACGUAGGCGGCUUUGUAAGUCGGAUGUGAAAUCCCUCGGCUUAACCAAGGAAGUGCAUCCGAAACUACAGAGCUUGAGUACUUAAGAGGAUCGCGGAAUUCCCGGUGUAGAGGUGAAAUUCGUAGAUAUCGGGAGGAACACCUGUGGCGAAAGCGGCUCACGUGGACCACAACUGACGCUGAGGCGCGAAAGCUAGGGGAGCAAACAGG
rnacentral:rRNA from 1 species